CGCGUAGGCGGCUAGAUCAGUCGGUUGUGUAAAUGCGGGGCUCAUCCUCGUAGUGCGACCGGGACGGUAGAGCUGGAGCGCGGUAGAGGGAGACGGGAAUGCCGGGUGUAGUGGUGAAAUGCGUAGAGAUCCGGCGGAACACCGGUGGCGAAGGCGGUCUCCUGGGCCGUGGCUGACGCUGAGGCGCGAGAGCGUGGGGAGCGAACCGGAUUAGAUACCCGGGUAGUCCACGCCGUAAACGGUGGACACUAGGUGUGGGGGGUAUCGACCCCUUCCGUGCCGGCGCGAACGCAGGAAGUGUCCCGCCUGGGGAGUACGGCCGCAGGCUAA
rnacentral:rRNA from 1 species